rnacentral:pre_miRNA from 1 species
UUCUUGGUGUUUUUCCUCAAUGACACGUUUUCUCCCGGAUUGCUGGCAAAUGAAAGCGCAACCGGGAAUUCCGUGUCAGCCAAGAAUAACGCCAGCAA